GAUGAACGCUGGCGGCGUGCCUAAUACAUGCAAGUCGAGCGAACAGACGAGGAGCUUGCUCCUCUGACGUUAGCGGCGGACGGGUGAGUAACACGUGGAUAACCUACCUAUAAGACUGGGAUAACUUCGGGAAACCGGAGCUAAUACCGGAUAAUAUAUUGAACCGCAUGGUUCAAUAGUGAAAGACGGUUUUGCUGUCACUUAUAGAUGGAUCCGCGCCGCAUUAGCUAGUUGGUAAGGUAACGGCUUACCAAGGCGACGAUGCGUAGCCGACCUGAGAGGGUGAUCAGCCACACUGGAACUGAGACACGGUCCAGACCCCUACGGGAGGCAGCAGUAGGGAAUCUUCCGCAAUGGGCGAAAGCCUGACGGAGCAACGCCGCGUGAGUGAUGAAGGUCUUCGGAUCGUAAAACUCUGUUACUAGGGAAGAACAAAUGUGUAAGUAACUAUGCACGUCUUGACGGUACCUAAUCAGAAAGCCACGGCUAACUACGU
rnacentral:rRNA from 1 species